UUUCCGUAGGUGAACCUGCGGAAGGAUCAUUAGUAAAGCGUAGCGUUAUCCCCGGAUGCCCAUCCGCACCGGGAUAGCGUUUACUUUCAACCACCAUGUGAAUAUGUAACAUAUAUCUUACCAAUUGACUGUUAACGAAGUCUGAAUCAAAUUGUAUUGGUGUUUAUAGACACUAGUAAAAUAUGAAACAACUUUUGGCAACGGAUCUCUUGGCUCUCGCAUCGAUGAAGAACGCAGC
rnacentral:misc_RNA from 1 species